GAGUUUGAUCCGGCUCAGGAUGAACGCUGGCGGCGCGCCUAACACAUGCAAGUCGAACGGCACCCCUCUCCGGAGGGAAGCGAGUGGCGAACGGCUGAGUAACACGUGGAGAACCUGCCCCCUCCCCCGGGAUAGCCGCCCGAAAGGACGGGUAAUACCGGAUACCCCGGGGUGCCGCAUGGCACCCCGGCUAAAGCCCCGACGGGAGGGGAUGGCUCCGCGGCCCAUCAGGUAGACGGCGGGGUGACGGCCCACCGUGCCGACAACGGGUAGCCGGGUUGAGAGACCGACCGGCCAGAUUGGGACUGAGACACGGCCCAGACUCCUACGGGAGGCAGCAGUGGGGAAUCUUGCGCAAUGGGGGGAACCCUGACGCAGCGACGCCGCGUGCGGGACGGAGGCCUUCGGGUCGUAAACCGCUUUCAGCAGGGAAGAGUCAAGACUGUACCUGCAGAAGAAGCCCCGGCUAACUACGUGCCAGCCGCCGCGGUAAUAC
rnacentral:rRNA from 1 species